CCUACGGGAGGCAGCAGUGGGGAAUCUUAGACAAUGGGGGCAACCCUGAUCUAGCCAUGCCGCGUGAGUGAUGAAGGCCUUAGGGUCGUAAAGCUCUUUCGCCUGUGAUGAUAAUGACAGUAGCAGGUAAAGAAACCCCGGCUAACUCCGUGCCAGCAGCCGCGGUAAUACGGAGGGGGUUAGCGUUGUUCGGAAUUACUGGGCGUAAAGCGCGCGUAGGCGGAUUAGAAAGUUGGGGGUGAAAUCCCGGGGCUCAACCCCGGAACUGCCUCCAAAACUGCUAGUCUAGAGUUCGAGAGAGGUGAGUGGAAUUCCGAGUGUAGAGGUGAAAUUCGUAGAUAUUCGGAGGAACACCAGUGGCGAAGGCGGCUCACUGGCUCGAUACUGACGCUGAGGUGCGAAAGUGUGGGGAGCAAACAGGAUUAGAUACCCUGGUAGUCCACACCGUAAACGAUGAAUGCCAGUCGUCGGAUAGUAUACUAUUCGGUGACACACCUAACGGAUUAAGCAUUCCGCCUGGGGAGUACGGUCGCAAGAUUAAAACUCAAAGGAAUGACG
rnacentral:rRNA from 1 species